UCAAGACAAAUUUUUCAUUCCAAAUUACUCUACCUCCAACAGUAGAUAUGGGGUGCCAUAUAUAACCUCCUAUGCAACUACCCAUGAUCCCCAUAAAUGAUCAUGUAACUACCCAUGAUCCAACAACAUCAUGGAUCACUACACUAGCUAAAUACAACCAUACAAGUCAGCAACUAAUAAAAGACGAAAAUACAUAAUAAAUAAAUGAAAAUACACAAGAAAAUAAAACUAGGGUGGCCGAAGUGCUAUGUACGCCGGCGACGCCUAUAUAUAUGCUGGAAACGAUGGUCUGUGUCCCCACCAACUCCCCUCAACGGAGAAGAGUUCGCCUCUGGCGAAAUGGAUGUCUGGUAAUGCUCCAACAGGUCUGAAGCAAGUCGCUGAAGCUCAUCUCUACUAAUCCAGGUAUCUUCUCACGGAGGUCGACCAUGCCAUCUGACCAGGUAUCGCUGAUAACCACCGUUCUGCGUACUAACAAUCUGAUCAUCCAAAAUCUGUUCCACUGUAUCUGUGAUCUGCGGAGAAAAAGGUACAGGAGGCAAGGCAGGAGCAGGAGAUAUGUUCUCAAAAUUGGAUGUGAGGUCAGUGUCAGGCUCAUUGAGUGGGUCUGCAGGAAUAGUUGUCGGACCUCGGUAGGCAACUAAG
rnacentral:lncRNA from 1 species